GGUUAGUUGGCUUGUGUUGUGGAAAGGUGGAUUGGAGAUUGUAGUUGGCUGGUGCAACAUACGCUUGGAACCCAAUUGGUUGAAUGAUUAAGGUAUAGUGACCUUUUCUAGCUUCCUCAUUAUGCAGGGUCCACAGCAACUCCCAUCUCUAGAAUGUCCCGCAACAUGGACGAGAUUAUUUGAUGGAUGCGUGACGAUGUCGCAUCAUGCUCACUGUUUACGUUCAACGCCAACCCAAUUAUGCCCCUUUGCGGUUUCAGGUUGCGUUGGAAAUUGGAGGGUGGAGAAAUCUCGACUCUGUUAUCGGUUAAUUUGUGAUUGUUGAGAGAUUUCAUUAUGAAUUAGGAAAGCUAAUAGGCGGCAAUGGAAGAACAUAUGUUGGAUGAUUGGCAAUGCAGGUCUAGAAGGGUCAAAUACUCAUUCGAAACAACCCAAACACAUGGUCGAUGGAUGACAGCAGCAAGAUUAGAAGGAAAAAUCUGAAGUUUAUUCUGCCAUGUUCCUAUACUCUUCUUAAUAUACGUAGUUUGAAUUUGAAAUAUGGGAAAUUGUGUAUUUGUUUGAAUGGAAACCGAAUGUGAAAUAAGCAUUGUAACCGAAUUUGGUUGGUUGAAUGUACCAUUUUUGUCAA